AUUGAACGCUGGCGGCAGGCCUAACACAUGCAAGUCGAGCGAGCGGCGGACGGGUGAGUAAUGUCUGGGAAACUGCCUGAUGGAGGGGGAUAACUACUGGAAACGGUAGCUAAUACCGCAUACCAUCAGAUGUGCCCAGAUGGGAUUAGCUAGUAGGUGGGGUAACGGCUCACCCAGGCGACGAUCCCUAGCUGGUCUGAGAGGAUGACCAGCCACACUGGAAAUGGGACACGGUACAGAAUCCAACGGGAGGCAGCAGUGGGGAAUAUUGCACAAUGGGCGCAAUCCUGAUGCAGCCAAGCCGCGAGUGUGAAGAAGGACUUAGGGUUGUAAAGCACUUUCAGCGGGGAGGCGUUACCCGCAGAAGAAGCACCGGCUAACUCCGUGCCAGCCGCCGCGGUAAUUC
rnacentral:rRNA from 1 species